GGAAUAAAGAGAAGCCAAAUUAAAUGUGUUAAAUGCUUAUCUUGUCAUGAUUAUGUGUUACUCUUCAUAGUAAUCCCAGUCUGUUUUCUGCAGGAGAAGCGGUUCUGUGAGAGUAAGGCAACAGUUGGUAAAUGUACAAACAAAUGGCUAGUUAGAUUAGCAAUGUUCAGAAAAUGUUUCUGUUGAAUCUGGCUCAUUCAAGAGGACAGAGUAAAGAGAAGAAUUUAAUUUUAUGCUUGGAUGGUAAGAGAUGAAUUUCAUCUUUGUGCAUGGAUGGAAGCAAACUCAACUUUGUGUCGCUGGCCUAAGAAGUGGCAUGUGGUUUUCUGGCACAUUCAGUGAGAUUUUCUAAAGAACUUGUGGCUACAUUUUCAAGGACCCGGCAACUACCAUCGGGGCCGGAGUUUUGAAGGCACUGUGAGCAAAGCAGCUUCCACUGGGACGGUUCAACUUGGCUUUUCUGACUUCCCCCGGAGGUAUGGCCCUCACUGUGUUACUAACUUCCUCCAGCUGUAAGAUGCAAUUAUCAAAUAUGUGAAACUUUUCAUAUUCCUUCAGUAAAUCAGCCUCCACGGACACAUACUCUCAGGAGCCUUUGGUCUCGUUACUCCUUCUGAAAAAAAAACCACUUUUCUUCCUGUAAUAAUUUCAUACAGGUGAGCAGUGGGAAUUCCAAAUCAUAUCUUAGUCUCUGCUGUGAACCAUUCAGGAUGAUGAAAAGCAUAGAAAUGAAGGUCCAAAGCAAUCUGUGUUGUAAUUUUGAAUGUAGUCUCCCCACUGUUCCUGGCACAAGCUUUUAGGCUGAACACCCACGUUUUCCAUUGCCUUCUGCUCAUACUGUAUUCUGCCUCUCCCCAAGAUGACUUGCUUCCAGUAAUGAACCAGUCAGAGCCUGGAACUUGAAACUCAAACUGAAUAAAAAGCUUGAGGAAAGGACGUAAAGCGAGUCAAAAGCGUCGCCUAAGUCGAGACACGCGGAAGCGCUGCCCAGCAGUGACUCCCACCGUGACAGGAAUGGCUUCUGUUGUGGUGAAUUGCAAAGAAAUGGCUCUGCUGGUGUAACGCUGGAACGGGCUGCAGCAGGGAAGUUACGCGCAGAAAGGAAUAAGUCAGCAGGACACUUGGACAGUCUUCUCCUUUACCUUACUGCCUAUAUUGCAAAAUAUGCAGGAGCCUGGUUAUCUUGGAGAUCUACACCCAUUUGCCAAAUUUUGUUAAAAUUGAACAGCAAGACCAAAACUUACUA